rnacentral:rRNA from 1 species
GGGGACGUAACAAAGCGACCCAGGAAUGCUUGGGCGUGCCUCCACCCACGCCGGCGUCGGCGGGCGUAUUUCGCCUCACAGUAGGUCGCCGCGACCCGUUGCUUUUGGGGACGUCGAAGGCCCGGACGGAUUGGUACCCUACCGGCUGGGGAUGCGGCUUCGGCUUCUCCUCUUGUCCGGUGGGCGAAACCGCCGGUGUCCUGGCUGCCCUGCGACGGUCGUAGAGACGAGCCCUUCCCAUUCGUGGGGGGUGGCUCUCGCGGCGUGCAAAAGGUCGGUGAUCCACCCGACCCGUCUUGAAACACGGACCAAGGAGUCUAACAUGUGUGCGAGUCAGUGGGCGCACUAAACCCAGAGGCGUAAUGAAAGUGACACGGGUUCGGCUGUCGCCUCGUGUGGCAGCCGGACUCAGGGCCGAUCCCUCACCGGUUGGCCUCGCCUCUCUCCCGCGUCUCGGUAAGCCGGGUGAGCUAUUUUCCCCGGCCAAUGCUGCGGGGCUCGGGGGGAGGCGGGGUGCGAUGGUGUCCGUAAAAAAGAGCCUGCUGUUGCAGGGGGGCGCAGGCCCGGGACUUGCCAGGACGCCGCGAGACUGUCACUUUGCUGUGAGGCUCUAGGGCCGAUCAGCGGGUCAUGCGUGCAGUCGGCAAGUACCAUGAGCAGACAUGUUGGGACCCGAAAGAUGGUGAACUAUGCCUGGCCAGGAUGAAGCCAGAGGAAACUCUGGUGGAGGUCCGUAGCGAUUCUGACGUGCAAAUCGAUCGUCGGAGCUGGGUAUAGGGGCGA